UACGGGGGGAGCAAGCGUUGUUCGGAUUUACUGGGCGUAAAGGGCGCGUAGGCGGCCACUGCAAGUCAGUUGUGAAAUCUCCGGGCUUAACUCGGAAAGGUCAACUGAUACUGCAGGGCUAGAGUGCAGAAGGGGCAACUGGAAUUCUCGGUGUAGCGGUGAAAUGCGUAGAUAUCGAGAGGAACACCUGCGGCGAAGGCGGGUUGCUGGGCUGACACUGACGCUGAAGCGCGAAAGCCAGGGGAGCAAACGGG
rnacentral:rRNA from 1 species